rnacentral:hammerhead_ribozyme from 1 species
AUCAAGCUGACGAGUCCCAAAUAGGACAAAAUGCACAUCCUGGAU